GCACUGCUGAGGAGUCCCAAAAUAGGACGAAACGGCCUUCUAGUGC
rfam:Schistosoma haematobium scaffold2532_2, whole genome shotgun sequence.